AUCGAUUGGGUGAAAACCCUAGCCUCCAUCCCCAUCGUGCCCCUUCCCUUCGCUCUUGCAGCCGCCGCACUCCCGUUCGGUCUCCUCUCCCAUCGCCGAGCUCGCCUCUGCCACUGCUCUCCCCGUCCCUCUCGCGCGGCCACCCCUCCUCCUCCCUGGACAAGGCAGCAGCGAGUGGCAGCAUAGGAGCAAGGCUGGGGACUGGGUAGCACGGUACGAGGGUCACGUUGAGCACGCCCCGGCGGCCUCUGAUUCGUCCUCUCGACCGGUAGCCACCUCUGCGCGUGGGACGACCUGUGUGUCGCCACGUCACCAGCGACACAGGGCCAAAGGCAACGGCCGCGCCUCGCCAUCACGGGGGGAGCAUCGGCCGCCGAGACGGUCGUCCACGUCACCACUGUCGUUGUCCUUCAGCAGGAUCGGCGGGUAGUGACACUUUCGUCGUGCACAUCGCUUGCUGUCAACUUGGCCACCUGACGGAGAUGGAAGAGGUACCAUCCAGCCUAUGGAGGUCGAGCUGCGGCGAGCAGCAGAGGAGGCGUGCAACUGCUGCCUGGCCCGAGACCUUCUUCACAGCAGCAGCACCACCACCAUCGUUAGAUGCAGUGAAGACCAGUAGCUGCGGGCGCCGUCAACCAUGACCCAGUGAAACCAGCCAUCUCCGGCGAGCUCACUCCCCUGCACCAGCAGAAGCACCGCAACGGCAACUGCAACAUCAAUUUCUACGGCGGUGGUAGAUGCCGUCGUAAGCGCCACCAUGUCAAAAAGCCAAGGAUUGAAACUAUGUGCAGUGAACCGAGCUUUUCCGAGAGGACCAAGACAAGAGGUAACACACUGCCUAGAGUAGUAAUAUGCACCAGCAUUUGGAUCAUAACAACCUAUAGUUGUGAUCAGCCCUUAUUAUCUGUAUUCAUCAGAAAAAUGUAUGUAUAUAUCAUGCCUGAUUUUUGCCUUUCUGCUUUUUGGAUCAGUUGUUGGCAAUAUAAAACUGUAGAUCAAGGAAGUGAAUAAUCUAUGCAUGGAAAAUAAACAAAAGAGGGUCAUAUAGUCUGAAAAAAAAUAGCUUGUAUUUUCUCCGACAGCAUGGGUGGCAGGGUAAUUUAGUAUAAAUAAGAGAAAAUGGUAGUUCAUAAGGUGUAGUGACUUGUCCUAUAAUUUAUCUCUUGUCAUCAAACACAUGUUUCUCACUUCUGUACUCGAUACACAGGAUCAUGUGUCCAGUAAGUGAAUACUGUCUACUACCGAUCAUAUCUACUUAUAUGUUUGCUUUGCAUUUCCAUGUGGCUUUGCACAAUGUCUGCUGCAGGGUUAGCUAAAAUGAAACCAUGUGUGGUACGGCUGGUCGCAUGCUUGCGUUCACUCGGCAGGAGGAGCACCACCCUUCUCACGCACCUCUGAGGGGCGGCCAGCACAUCCAUUCCCUAGAGUGGUCCACUCCGGCUCUCAGCUCUGUUCCCCAACGGCGUGCCGCCUCUAGGAACGCCACCUUGGAGAUGGUCGGAGCUCUGGCGCCUCCAACUCUAUCCCCCAUCUUUACUCCGUCCAGUUUCACCUCUCUCUCUCUCUCUCUCUCUCUCUCUCUCUCUCUCUCUCUCUCUCUCUCUCUGAUGAAAACAUCAUUUUAUUCUGGCCGGAUGCUAAAGGUAUGUGAUGAUGCAGCAAGUUCUGGAUUUGUGCUUGGAGGCAAACUCAGCCGAGGGACCUUUUCACGGUUUAAAUCAAAAUGGUGUGCUGAAGAGAAAAACCUUACUUUCGAAAGAGAUUAAAAUGGAAUCUGCUUGGACUAUGUUGACCAUACAGGUUUGAUUCAUAUAUAGUCUGAAGUUGGCUGUACCUGGAUGGGUUACAGUUUGCUUCUUUCAAAAAGACGAGGUGUUCUCUCUAAAACAAUCUGUAGCUGGAUUUGUAGAUAGUUUUUUAUGUUUCUGUACAUUAACAUGAUCUCAAACAAUUCUUGGGCCAUAGGAUUGUCGUCAUGUAUGUUAUUUAGUUAUAUAGAAAAACAUAGCAUAGGACAAUGCUGCUUCUAAACCCAGCUGUUAAAUUCAUCACCGAACAAUUGAAUCCGCUUUCAGCCUAACGUUCAAUCAAGAAAGAGUCAAUUAUGUGUAUCUAUGAGCACUGUUGUUAUUCUUUUUUAAGAUGAGCUCUACUGUUCACUUGAUUCAUUAUGUUCUAUAGGGAGAGGAAGCAAAUGGGUUGGGAUGAUCUGCAUUGCCUCCAAUUGCACAAGAUUCAGGGAAUCACCAUAGCUGUAUUAUGUUUUUCCAUGAUAUCAGCAAUGUGAGUAUAUAUAUUUAUAUAUUUCCUUCUUAUUUACUUUUUAGUGAUGCUUGCUGCAGUAUUACAUAACUGAAUGUUGGUCCAAGAUUGAUAAUUAUGUUGUCCAUGAAGAACACAUCAUAUUCUUCAACUGACCGAACAAGUUACUCACAUCAGAUUCAUGUGAUGUGUCAUGUGAAGUGUCGAAUGAUGAGACGAUCAAGUGAAGCUAUCUAAGAGUAUGCUUAUGUGGAACUAUAUAAGUUCCUUAUCUCGCUGCCGCUAUGGCUUGCUGUUGCUAUGUAAUAAGUAUGAUGUUUGCAUCUCACUUUACUCGCUUUUGGAAUAAAAUAUAUAUUUGCA